AAGGGAGGCCACAGCAGUCACCAGUGAUAUCCAAGUGAGAUGAUGGAAUACAGCUGGGAUCUUCAGGUUGAGUUUGCACUGCAAAGUUUGGAUCCUGCCAGUCCUAGACACCAAUUUAUCACACUCCCUCCCAGCUCAUCCCCUCGAAUAUACCAUGAUGGUGAAUGUCACUUGUUCAGAAUGAGGUGAUGGCAGAACACAGAUUCCUGAAGAGCCUCUUUUUGAAGGCAAAGGUGACCUCUUAUUAGCUGCUGUGACUGCAAG